rnacentral:lncRNA from 1 species
UUAGUAAUGCAUAGUCUUAUAGUUUAAAAAAAAAAAGAGACUUUAUUUUUUAGAGCCGUUUUAGGUUCAUGGUAAAAUUGAAGGGAAAGCACACAGAUUUCCCAUAUUCCUCUUACUGCCACAAGUGCAUAGCCUCCCCCAUUAUCAACACCCCCCACCAGAGUGGUACAUUUGUUACAUCAGUGAACGUACACUGACACAUCACCCAAAGUCUAUAUUUUACAUUAGAGUUUAUUCUUGGUGUUGUUCAUUCUAUGGGUUUGGACAAAUGUAUAAUGACAUAGAUCCAUCUUUACAGUAUAAUACACAGCAGUUUCACUGCCCUAAAAAUUCUCUGUGCUCUGCCUAUUCUUUCUUCCCUUCCUCUUAAUCCCUGGACACCAUGGCUCUUUUCACUUUUAUCUAGUUUUGCGUUUUCUAGAAUAGGUGUAGUUGAACUCAAACAGUACAUAGCCUUUUCAGAUUGUCUUUUUU